rnacentral:misc_RNA from 1 species
UUGGUUUGUUACCGGUGGUCGGCUCUCUUGCUUGCAACAACUUCCACCAGACAUGCCUGUUCGUCCGUUAAGGCUUCGAUUGCCUGAGAGAAUUGUGGGUUUCCUGUGUUGCCUACCUAACAUAUGGUAUUGAUCUGGCUUACCUAAGUUAUGUUUGUCUUUUGUCAUUCUSGUGACGUCAGAUGAACCUUAAACCUGUCUCUUUGAACCACAUCAUUAAUGCUUGUGUUGAUGUAGUGGUGCAUUGAGCCUUGCUUGGUCUCUUUGAUGUAGUACUUGAUGUGGGCAUGGGUCUCGUUGGCUCCUUGUUAUGUCCUGCUUUAUUGUUUACGCUCCCUAAAAUGACUGCUUGACAUGUGUUGGCUCGUUACAGCGUGUUGGGCUUUGUCUAAGAGGAAUGUUACCUGGU